AACGCUAGCUACAGGCUUAACACAUGCAAGUCGAGGGGCAUCAUGAUCUAGCAAUAGAUUGAUGGCGACCGGCGCACGGGUGAGUAACACGUAUCCAACCUUCCAUUAACUCGGGGAUAGCCUUUCGAAAGAAAGAUUAAUACCCGAUAGUAUAGCAUUUCCUCCUGGUUUUGCUAUUAAAGAAUUUCGGUUAUUGAUGGGGAUGCGUUCCAUUAGUUUGUUGGCGGGGUAACGGCCCACCAAGACUUCGAUGGAUAGGGGUUCUGAGAGGAAGGUCCCCCACAUUGGAACUGAGACACGGUCCAAACUCCUACGGGAGGCAGCAGUGAGGAAUAUUGGUCAAUGGACGGGAGUCUGAACCAGCCAAGUAGCGUGAAGGAUGAAGGCCCUAUGGGUCGUAAACUUCUUUUAUACGGGAAUAAAGUGAACCACGUGUGGUUUUUUGUAUGUACCGUAUGAAUAAGGAUCGGCUAACUCCGUGCCAGCAGCCGCGGUAAUACGGAGGAUCCGAGCGUUAUCCGGAUUUAUUGGGUUUAAAGGGAGCGUAGGCGGGUACUUAAGUCAGUUGUGAAAGUUUACGGCUCAACCGUGAAAUUGCAGUUGAUACUGGGUGCCUUGAGUGCAGUAGAGGUAAGCGGAAUUCGUGGUGUAGCGGUGAAAUGCUUAGAUAUCACGAAGAACUCCGAUUG
rnacentral:rRNA from 1 species